rnacentral:rRNA from 1 species
AUUGAACGCUGGCGGAAUGCUUUACACAUGCAAGUCGAACGGUAGAGGGGGCAACCCCUCGAGAGUGGCGAACGGGUGAGUAAUAUAUCGGAACGUGCCCAGUCGUGGGGGAUAAUGUAGCGAAAGUUACGCUAAUACCGCAUACGAUCUAAGGAUGAAAGCGGGGGAUCGCAAGACCUCGCGCGAUUGGAGCGGCCGAUAGCAGAUUAGGUAGGUGGUGGGGUAAAGGCUCACCAAGCCAACGAUCUGUAGCCGGUCUGAGAGGACGACCAGCCACACUGGAACUGAGACACGGUCCAGACUCCUACGGGAGGCAGCAGUGGGGAAUUUUGGACAAUGGACGCAAGUCUGAUCCAGCCAUUCCGCGUGCAGGAUGAAGGCCCUCGGGUUGUAAACUGCUUUUGUACGGAACGAAAAGGUCUCUCUUAAUACGGGGGACUCAUGACGGUACCGUAAGAAUAAGCACCGGCUAACUACGUGCCAGCCGCCGCCGUAA